GGGGUGGGGUUUUUUGGUGUGUUUUUAGCUGGUCGUUAUGGCGGGUGGCGUUUGCUGCCCGUCGGAGGAAGCUGAGGGUCCUCUGAUGAAGGCUGACUUGCUGAUGAAGGGGCGUUGGGGCGCUCCGCCAGCGGCUGCCCCCGGCUGGCAGGGAACGAUCCUGGCGACGGGCGCUGAGGCAAACCCCGCUCCCCUGGGCUUACCUCCCGCCUCGGCCCGUCCUGCUCUGUGUGCAGCGCUGUGUGCUGCUGGCUCUGAUCCCGGGCUGAGGACGCCGGAGUUGGAGUGGAUGUGGGAAGAGCUGCUUGGAAGAAGCGGGUUAGGACCAGACUCAUUUGAAGCUGUUGUAGAAUCACUUGAACAGGCCCAGCUCUCUCAGCCUGUCUUCGAAAGGGAGGUGUUCCAUCCCUUGGAUCAUCAGGUCCAUGUCUCUCCUGUACUGAGGACUCCACAUCUGGAUGCAGUACUCCAGCUGAACAAAGCUGGCUCUCUGUCUUCAUCAUGGUGCUCAUCCACUGCACUUUCUCCUGUAUGCUGAAGAAUUUACUUAUCCAGGAAAGGACAGCAGGAGACUGCUUACAUAACUUUUAUUUAGAGUCAACACAGGAAGUCUCACCAAGGCUGGCAGCAGGGUGUGGAGCAAGACUGUGACCUCCUAAAGAGGUAACUAUUUUGUUUUCAGAGUCAUGUACUUCAGCCUUGCAUUUGGCUCUUGCAGUUCACUAGCACACUUGAGUACUUACAAAUAAUAGAAUGUUUACUGGACUCCGAAGUGUCAUCUGCCUAAAUCACAGCAUAAAGUGCAACAGACCUGUCAUUCAUUCUUUUUAUGGACAGGUUGACUUUGGUUAAUUGAGUCUUUAAUCCUCAACCAUGUUUAAAAACUGUUAGCAGUAAUGGCUUCUCCAGAAAGUGAAAAUUAGCUUCUCUGUGGAAACUGAGCUCAGACCUUAGAAAGAUAAUUUUUUUGUUCUCCUUGAGAACUUAGAGUUGGUCAAAUCCAUGGGCAUGAACCUUUAAGAGAUCUUUCAUUUUGCUUUCAUAAUUUGUCAUGUAGCUUUUCUCUAAGCAGUUGCUGAUUCUGAAGCAACACAAAGAGCAUAUGUUACUGCCAGUACUCAAAGCUAUACUUCCAGGAUGGAAAGCCAAAGCACCCCUGGCCAUCAAGAUCAUGGCUUUGGCGUUUGUCUUCUCGUUGUUGGCGCAGAGAGUGCCAUGUGUUGGUGAUUAUUUGGAUGAGGAAACCCUCAACCGCAUGCGGCAGCGUGAGGUGUAUCUGCAAGAGCAGAUGACAAAGCUGCUGCUGGAGAUAGAAGAGAUGGAAGUGGCACGGAGCAGGAUGGGCAUGCAAGCCCUGCUCUUUGCUUUGUUGCCAUACUGGAAGAUUUUUAAUUUUCUUUGUCUUUUCAUCCUUCUGUUUUGGUUCAUGUGGAAGAUCCAUAGAGAGUUUCAGAGGGUUGAAGACAGCAGUGAUGAGGAGAGCUCCAGCAGUGAGGAGGAGCAGCAACAGGAGCAGCAGGAGGAGCAGCAGGAGCAGCAGGAGGAGCAGCAGCAGCAGGAGGAGGGGGUAGAAGAGGAGCAACCAUUUUUCCUUCCUGGUGCUCUCUGGUCAAUCCAAAGCCCUCAAGUCAACACUGAACAUACGCUGUUGCUGUUGAGUGAACUCAUUGCUAUUUCCCAGUAUCUCGUAUCAGAUACUUUCUAUCCAGUGCCACAGCACCCCAUUGGGGUGGGUGGUGCCUACGAAGGCUGGUAUCCCGUUGAGCAUGAACCUGUCCUUUGCGUGCUUGUGCCCCUGUUGGCCCCCCGUGGGCAUGUUUUCCACCCGGAUCUGAGCACCAUAGGGGAGCUACCAGCGAAGAACUCCCGUAUCCAUGUAGCGCUGGAAUGCACGUGCGGGAGGGAGCAGGAGAUGGGCAUGCAGUGCUUCCUCCACGCCUCCGCAGAAGAGCUGAGAAAUCAGCAGCCCAGCCUCCUACACAACCUCUGCACUGACUCCUGCCUAGAUGUGGAGAAGACUGCCCGCUGGUUCCUGGUGCUGAUCAGAAAUGCCUGGAAAUGCAUCCCUGCGUCUGCAACAUGCAGCAUGAAUGUGGUGCUGUCCAGGCGCUCCUGCAGGCUUCGUGUGAGAAAUAUCUUCAGAAGCACCUCCAUUAAGCUAGUGUUUGGUGUACAGCAAGACAAUACAGACAUCUUUCUGAGCAGCCAGGAGACUGACUACCAGGAGCCUGGUGGUACUCCCAGCACGAUCUGGCCACAGAGCUGUGCUGUGGCAGAGGCAAAGUUCUUCCAGCAUGUAGCCAGCCAUGCCGAGGAUGACCAUUUCCACUUCAGAUGUAUGCAAGUGUGUGCCUAUAUCCUGUCGGGCCACAACUUUUCUACCUAUGAACUAAAGACCGUGUUCAUGCACCUCCUGAAUGCCAUCCCUUUGGAAAACUGGCAUGAGAGGUAUUUUCUGCUGCAGAUGGAUGACAUCUUUCGCUACCUGCGCUGCUGUGUGGAGGAGAAACGUCUGAACCACUUCCUCAUUGGAAAUGAGGAUGUGCCAGCAGAGAUUAUCUUGCCACAAGAUUUCCGAGAGUCCGAACCGCUCAACCUCUUUCAGCACCUGGCGCAGGAUCCGGACAAACAUGAGCAGGCACUGCAGGAGUUGGAGAGGCUGGAAGAUCGGCUCACAAGCAUGCUGAUCUAUGGGAAAUGAGAAACGCCCACUUGUCCCACAGCUAAGCACGCUGGACACAGAGAAGACACCACAGCAGGUACACUCUGGGGCAGCCAUACCCCAUGCCAAUGAAGAGGGUGCUGCAUGGGUUGAGAGCUUAUGGGUCAGAAUAAAAGUGAAGGCCAAUAAGACUGAUAUUAUCAUGGGAGUCUACUACAGGCCACUCAACCAGGAUAAAGAGACAAGACACUUCAUAGACAGUUGGGUGAGGUCUCAAGGUCUCUCCCCCUUGUUCUUGUGGGGGACUUCAACUUCCCAGACAUCUGUGGGAUUUAUAAUACAGCAGAUAGAGAACAGUCUCAGAGGUUCCUAGAGUGUGUGGGAGAUGACUUCCUGACACAGCUGGUGAAGGAGCCAACAAGGGGAAGCAAAAUCCUGGACCUGCUGUUUGUUAACAGAGAAGGUCUCCUGGGGGACGUAAAGGUUGGAGGCCAUCUGGGGCAUAGUGAUCAUGAGAUGCUAGAUUUCUUGAUCCUUGUUGAACCACGGUGGGGAGUCAGCAGAACUGCCACCUUGGACUUCUGGAGGGCAGACUUUAACCUCUUUAGGACCAUGGUUGAGAGAGUCCCUUUGGAGUUAGUUUUGGAGAGCGUGGGAGCCCAGGAAGGCUGGGAAUACUUUAAUAAAGUAAUUUUAAAGGUGCAAGAGCUGACCAUCCCCGAGUCAUGGAAGACGAGCCAACAGGCAAGGAGGCUGGACUGGCUGAACAGAGACCUUUGGCUGGAACUCAAGAGCAAAAGGAAAGCUUAUGGUCUCUGGAAGAGUGGGCAAGCUACUUAUGAUGAUUACAGACAGAUGACAUCAGCUGCCACACGCAGAUGCGGAUGGCCUCAGUGCUGCACUUCGAGCUGCUGUCUCCAGGUUGCUCCAUGACAGGGAGCCACUGGGUAGCCUGAGGAGCAAAGGGAAGGCGGUGUCCCCUCAGACCCUCCUCACGAAAAUGAACUGCGUGGCAAGGUUGUCUGGGUGACAGGAGCUUCAAGUGGAAUUGGAGAAGAAUUGGCUUACCAGCUAUCGAAGAUAGGAGCUUUGCUUGCUAUCUCAGCAA